ACGUAUGGUUAUGUAGAAAGUGGUAAAAGGGGGGAAAGAGAGUGAAACGGCCUUCUAAGCCGUAGGUCGCAGGUUCGAAUCCUGCUUGGCGUACCA
rnacentral:tRNA from 1 species